GAGUGGACAUGCACGUCCUCGAAGUGCUAUCGAGGUUAUACUUUUCAACCUUGGCAAGAGGCCCACGACUUCUGCCUCUCUCUUAGACCGAUAAGCACGGCUACAGGAGACAAGACACGUACGUCUCUCCUCUUUGAAGACAAAUUGGACGAACACAUCAGGCACUUAGGACAUUACGUAUGGAUCAACCUCAACGACAUACAAGCCGAAGGGCACUACGUAGAUGGCACAGGAGCUGUCCCGAAUACAACCAGUUGGCUCCGUGGUUCUCCGAAUGGUGGUUCCCUUGAAAACUGUGUGGCUGUUACACUGAAAGGUUGGGCGGACUUCCAGUGCGACUUUGAAAUACUCACCAUAUGUCAGAUACUGCUAUAGAAGCAUAGGGAAAUCGCGGAACUUUCAGAGAUUUCUUUUCGAAUUUUCUUAAUGUUCUGUCAAAUAAUGCACCGAUGAAGGAGAAGGAGAAAUGACUACAAGUUGCAUGAAUUAUACCGACGUCAUGGGCCUUUUCGUGAUUUUCUAUAUU